AUCAUUAGUUGCUAACAUUCAGUUGAGGAACUCUAAUGAGACCGCCAGUGAUAAACUGGAGGAAGGUGGGGAUGACGUCAAAUCAUCGUGCCCCUUAUGACCUGGGCUACACACGUGCUACAAUGGCCGGUACAAAGAGUUGCGAAACUGUGAAGUUAAGCUAAUCUCAUAAAGCCGGUCUCAGUUCGGAUUGUAGUCUGCAACUCGACUACAUGAAGUCGGAAUCGCUAGUAAUCGCGAAUCAGAAUGUCGCGGUGAAUACGUCCUCGAGUCUU
rnacentral:rRNA from 1 species